rnacentral:rRNA from 1 species
GACGGGGGGGACCAGUGUUAGUCGUAUUGAUUGGGCGUAAAGGGUGUGUAGACGGCUUUUUAGAACUUAUCGGUAAAGUCCACUUUAGCUGUGGUAUCCGUCUGUUAUCAUAAAGCUAGAGUGACGGGGAGGGGUGCGGUACUUCUAGUUUAGGUUUGAGUGCCGAAGAGAUUAGAAGGACCCCCAGUGGCGAAGGCGGCUACCCACCUGUCACUGACGUUGAGGCACGGAGGCGUGGGGAGCAAACGGG